AUACUAAAAACCUGGAAAUCUUGCUGAAAUGCAGAUUCAGCAAGAUUGAAUAGGUGUGGGGAUUUUACAUUUCUGAUAAGCUCUCAAGUGAUCCUGAU
rnacentral:pre_miRNA from 1 species